UUCUUCGGGGCGGGGCGCAAUUCCCCACCGGCAGUAAAGUCUGCGAGCCAAGUUUUUGGUAUGAUUAGGUGCAAUUCCUAAACCGACGGUAUAGUCCGGAUGGUAGAAGAUA
rnacentral:ncRNA from 1 species